rnacentral:rRNA from 1 species
UGACUGGGGGGGAGUCGUAACAAGGGAACCGAUAAAGAAUUCCAGGUGUAGCGGUGAAAUGCGUAGAGAUCUGGAGGAAUACCGGUGGCGAAGGCGGCCCCCUGGACGAAGACUGACGCUCAGGUGCGAAAGCGUGGGGAGCAAACAGGAUUAGAUACCCUGGUAGUCCACGCCGUAAACGAUGUCGACUUGGAGGCUGUUCCCCUGAGGAGUGGCUUCCGGAGCUAACGCGUUAAGUCGACCGCCUGGGGAGUACGGCCGCAAGGUUAAAACUCAAAUGAAUUGACGGGGGCCCGCACAAGCGGUGGAGCAUGUGGUUUAAUUCGAUGCAACGCGAAGAACCUUACCUGGCCUUGACAUCCAGAGAACUUAGCAGAGAUGCUUUGGUGCCUUCGGGAACUCUGAGACAGGUGCUGCAUGGCUGUCGUCAGCUCGUGUUGUGAAAUGUUGGGUUAAGUCCCGCAACGAGCGCAACCCUUAUCCUUUGUUGCCAGCGGGUAAUGCCGGGAACUCAAAGGAGACUGCCGGUGAUAAACCGGAGGAAGGUGGGGAUGACGUCAAGUCAUCAUGGCCCCUUACGGCCAGGGCUACACACGUGCUACAAUGGCGCAUACAAAGAGAAGCGACCUCGCGAGAGCAAGCGGGACCUCAUA